AAAUAAAGAGGAGUCACUGGAGCUUCUUUGAAUGUGGCAGCAUGCUGGAAGGCUACAGCCCUAUGACCCAGGCCCUGCUGGGGACUCUGUUCACCUGGGGUCUGACUGCUGCUGGAGCCGCCCUGGUGUUCAUCUUCUCCAGCCGUCAGAAGCGAAUCCUGGAUGGA